GGUGAGGAACCCGUCUAGGGACGUCAGGGCAGCCAGGUGCCAGCCGCAAGGUGAGUCAAGGGUUACCACCUUCCCUCUCACUUGGGCAGGGCCUUCCUCGUUCCCUCCCUCUGUGUCACGUAUGUCAUAGUCACGCCGAUCGUGAUAACAUAAAACGAUAUUAC